AGAGACAGAGGGAAACUGAGAAGAAAGGAGAGAUAAAGAAGGAAAGAGAUGGAAAGACACCUGCAGCUCUAUUCACCACUUGUGAAGAUUUCCCCCUGCAGCAGACCUAGUUUUUCAGAUGAGCAGUUUCCAGAACUUCAGGUGGAAGAUAAUACAAUUAUGGAUCUCCCUUCAAAGUAUCCUGAAAAUAAAUCUGUCCUGGAAUAAAAACCAUAUUGAGUUCUUUGUGCUGAUCCGCUUCCAAACCCUCCUUACUGGUGUGAUCAUGGUACUCAAUCUGUCUGUAAUUACAGUCUAGGAGACUUUUGCAAUGCACCACACAG